rnacentral:pre_miRNA from 1 species
AUUUUUUGCAUAUCAGACAUGUGGGGAUAAAAUAUUCUAAAAAUAAAUGGAUCUUAGAUAGUUUUCCCUUCAAGAAGAAUGUCAUAU